CUCAAAUUCUGGAGUCAUUGUUCGACUAUUUGAGGCAAGUGAAUUUCUAAACUCUUGUUAAGUGUAUGGAAUGCGUGUAUGUCCUUGUGGUAUAUGCUUGUGAGUGAUGGGGCUUGGUGAUGGUUGACUUGUCCACAUUGAUUAAUUCUAAUGAUGAAAAAUGGGUAACAAAAGACAAUGUGAUUAAUUUUUUAGGUGUGAUGUGUUGAGGAAGGUUUGAAAUCUUGUUGAAUCAUUGUUGAUGUGGUAUCAUGUUUGUGUUGUUGUGAAUUCUGUAAUUUUGUGAAAAUGAUCAUCUCCUCUUUAUUUAUGUGAACAUGUCAUUUGCAUUAUUUUAAGACAUGAUUGUGGAAGUGUUAUGUGCAUUGAGAGAUAAUGAGAACUUAAAGAGGAUGUACUAUUUCGAGGGACGUAUCGCGCGCCACGAUGGAUACUAUAUUUCGAGGGACGUAUCGUGCGUCGCGAUGAUUACUAUUAUCGAGGGUCAUGUCGUGCGCCGCGACAGAUGCAUGGACAGAUAUGUCCCCCAUGGGUCGGACUGAGAGACAGCGGGUGUGUAUCACUAGGUCAGACAUGCAUCAUUAUACUUGACAUUACAUUCCAUUGCAUUGCACAUACUUAUCAUUAGUGAACUUGAUAUAGUGUUUUGCUGAAUUUGUGAAUGCCCUUCUGCUGGACUUGUGAUUGAUGAAUACUGAACUUGUUGUUGUGGAUAUGUCAUUUGUUGAAGUCUUGUUGUUGAGGAUAUAUAGUUUGUUGAAGUGUUGUUGUAAAGGAGAUGUAAUUUGUUAAUGUGUUGUUGUUGAGGAUAUGUGCUAUGUAAACUGUGAGCUAUUAGGUUGGUCUGAUUUUUAUGCAGGUUGUAGUUGUGGAGGUACGAUUGGGGUGGUAGGAGUACCCGUAUUUCAUUCCCUUAGCCUGUGUUUAGAGAUUUACUUGCUGAGUACCGUG
rnacentral:lncRNA from 1 species